rnacentral:rRNA from 1 species
GUGGGGAAUAUUGGACAAUGGGCGAAAGCCUGAUCCAGCCAUGCCGCGUGUGUGAAGAAGGUCUUCGGAUUGUAAAGCACUUUAAGUUGGGAGGAAGGGCAGUAAGUUAAUACCUUGCUGUUUUGACGUUACCGACAGAAUAAGCACCGGCUAACUUCGUGCCAGCAGCCGCGGUAAUACGAAGGGUGCAAGCGUUAAUCGGAAUUACUGGGCGUAAAGCGCGCGUAGGUGGUUUUGUAAGUUGGAGGUGAAAUCCCCGGGCUCAACCUGGGAACUCUCUCCAAAACUGCAUGACUAGAGUACGGUAGAGGGUAGUGGAAUUUCCUGUGUAGCGGUGAAAUGCGUAGAUAUAGGAAGGAACACCAGUGGCGAAGGCGACUACCUGGACUGAUACUGACACUGAGGUGCGAAAGCGUGGGGAGCAAACAGGAUUAGAUACCCUAGUAGUCC